rnacentral:rRNA from 1 species
AACGAACGCUGGCGGCAUGCCUAACACAUGCAAGUCGAACGAGACCUUCGGGUCUAGUGGCGCACGGGUGCGUAACGCGUGGGAACCUGCCCUUAGGUUCGGAAUAACUCCCCGAAAGGGGUGCUAAUACCGGAUAAUGUCUUCGGACCAAAGAUUUAUCGCCUUUGGAUGGGCCCGCGUUGGAUUAGCUAGUUGGUAGGGUAAAAGCCUACCAAGGCGACGAUCCAUAGCUGGUCUGAGAGGAUGAUCAGCCACACUGGGACUGAGACACGGCCCAGACGAGGCGGGGGCGAAGCAGAGGGAGACAGCGGACGGGGGGGUAAAGCAAGCGGCAGGGAUGGGGAGGGGGGGAGGAAGGUUUUGUGGUUAAACAGUCUUAUCACGAGUGAUGAAAAGGACAGUAGGGGGAGAGUAGGCUCCGUCACACUGCGGCACGGCGGGCGGUGAAAUAGGCGGAAGAGCAAGCGUCUGAAC